UAGGGAAUCUUCGGCAAUGGACGGAAGUCUGACCGAGCAACGCCGCGUGUGUGAAGAAGGUUUUCGGAUCGUAAAGCUCUGUUGUUAGAGAAGAACGUUGGUAGGAGUGGAAAAUCUACCAAGUGACGGUAACUAACCAGAAAGGGACGGCUAACUACGUGCCAGCAGCCGCGGUAAUACGUAGGUCCCGAGCGUUGUCCGGAUUUAUUGGGCGUAAAGCGAGCGCAGGCGGUUCUUUAAGUCUGAAGUUAAAGGCAGUGGCUUAACCAUUGUACGCUUUGGAAACAGGAGGACUUGAGUGCAGAAGGGGAGAGUGAAAUUCCGUGUGUAGCGGUGAAAUGCGUAGAUAUAUGGAGGAACACCGGUGGCGAAAGCGGCUCUCUGGUCUGUAACUGACGCUGAGGCUCGAAAGCGUGGGGAGCAAACAGG
rnacentral:rRNA from 1 species